rnacentral:lncRNA from 1 species
CUCCCCGGCGGUCCCUGGUCCCGAGGGGCUUGGGGCAAAGGCUGCGCAGGCCCCAAGGCCAGGCCUCGUGAGCAGGGGCGGCAGAGCCCCCGCCAGCCCCGUCGGCCUGACAGGGCUCUUCCUGCAGGCGCAGCGCCAUCUGGACCCGCUGCCCGCAGGCUACUUCUACAACGGAACCCAGUUUGUCAACUUCUUCGGAGACAAGACGGAUUUUCACCCACUCCUGGACCAGUUCCUGAACGACUACGUGGAGGACACCAACCGCGAAAUCGAGAGGCACAACCGCGCCCUGGAGCAGCAGGAGCCCUGAGCGCGGGGGCCGUGCGUCGGCGGGGGCCGUGCGUCGGCGGGGGCCGCCCCUCCGGCCCGCGUGCUGGGGGGACCACAGGCUCUGUCGUCCACGCACGGUGGGGGUCCCCCGUGUGCGCAGCUGCAGGCGCGACCUCGGGGCCUCUCCUUGGGCGGCCAAGGUGCCGUGUCGGGGGAAAAGCCCCCAUGCCGCCGAGUCCCCUCUGCGGAGGGAGCUGGCCCUGCCGCCAGGACGAGCCCUGUGUCCUGGGCCGCGGGCAAGUGCGUGCCCUGAGUGGAUCGCGUCCAGUGGAGUCGGCAGAGGGCAUGGCGCUGCGACACCGGGGGCCCCGCUGUGCCUGGUCCUCAAGCGCCCCUGUGGCGUCACCCCACUCGCUGACUCCAGGGUCAGCAGAGCUGCUGCGCAGGCCUCCCUGGCCACGCGCUGCGAGGGAAGCGUCGGGGUGAGCCGGGCUCACUGGAGGGCGCCCCGGGCCCCUCUCCAGCACCUGCGCGCUUGCGGCCUUGCGGGGGGCGU